rnacentral:rRNA from 1 species
GACGAACCGUACGAACGUUAUUCGGAAUUACUGGGCUUAAAGGGUGCGUAGGCUGCGCAGUAAGUUGGGUGUGAAAUCCCUCGGCUUAACCGAGGAACUGCGCCCAAAACUACUGUGCUCGAGGGAGACAGAGGUGAGCGGAACUUAGGGUGGAGCGGUGAAAUGCGUUGAUAUCCUAAGGAGCACCUGCGGCGAAAGCGGCUCACUGGGCCUCUUCUGACGCUGAGGCACGAAAGCUAGGGUAGCGAACGGG